rfam:Nicotiana attenuata strain TT chromosome 10, whole genome shotgun sequence.
GUCCGUUCGGGGACAUCCGAUUAAGUUGUAACGAUAUAAAGAAGAUUAGUAUGGCCCUUGCACAAAUCGAGAAAUGAUGAUGCUCUCU